CCUGUCUGUCAUACCUGUCGCACACGUUGGCGGUGCAUUUGCGUGCAGAGUGCGUCGAGUCGGCCGUGCGUGUCGUUGCAAGCGUGCGAAGAGGACCAGCUUGCUGGCACCCUGAGUGCGUGGAAGGCGAGUGCGUAUGGUUGUACGGGGGUUGGUGAACUCGUGGCCGGGUGCGAGGAUGUGGGUUGUUUGCGUGUAGUGCUUGCAUUGCUAGCUUGCGAUUCACGUCUUCGUGUCCGGCUGCUCUGCCCUCACUCGGCGUCGAGUCGGUCACCCAUCCGACCCGUCUUGAAACACGGACCAAGGAGUUUAAGGUUUGCGCAAGUCGUUGAGUGGCAAGCUCAGAGGCGUAAUGAAAGUGGGACACUUGGUGUCUGCGAUGCGACCGGUGUGCGUUUCGAUGCGCGCCGGGCAGCAUCGACCCACAAUUGGCAUUCAUGCUGUUGUGGAGUCCGAGCGCAAGCUUUGAGACCCGAAAGAUGGUGAACUAUGCCUGAACAGGACGAAGUCAGA
rnacentral:rRNA from 1 species